rnacentral:rRNA from 1 species
GUGGGGAAUAUUGGACAAUGGGCGCAAGCCUGAUCCAGCCAUGCCGCGUGUGUGAAGAAGGCCUUUUGGUUGUAAAGCACUUUAAGCGAGGAGGAGGCUACUUGGAUUAAUACUCUAGGAUAGUGGACGUUACUCGCAGAAUAAGCACCGGCUAACUCUGUGCCAGCAGCCGCGGUAAUACAGAGGGUGCGAGCGUUAAUCGGAUUUACUGGGCGUAAAGCGUGCGUAGGCGGCUUCUUAAGUCGGAUGUGAAAUCCCUGAGCUUAACUUAGGAAUUGCAUUCGAUACUGGGAAGCUAGAGUAUGGGAGAGGAUGGUAGAAUUCCAGGUGUAGCGGUGAAAUGCGUAGAGAUCUGGAGGAAUACCGAUGGCGAAGGCAGCCAUCUGGCCUAAUACUGACGCUGAGGUACGAAAGCAUGGGGAGCAAACAGGAUUAGAUACCCGUGUAGUCC